rnacentral:piRNA from 1 species
AGGAGUUCUUUGUGGGUUGUUUUAGA